CCACGGCCAUCUGGAUGAAAUCAGUUUAGCGUUGGCGUGAAGCACUGACCCUGUCCCUAAUUUCUUUGGGAUUAUGGAUAUGGAAUGAUCGUUCAGGACUGCUCCGUAUUCAGCACUUAAUACAAAGACGGAUGUUUUCCGUCCCUAGGUACGUACGAAUCAUUAAUUAAUAUGAAAGACUUACCGCCAUUUCUCAUAAAUUAUCCCGGUCUAAUUUAUUCAAUAAUCACCUUGAGUAGUUAGUUAUCGUAGUAUGUAUUGCAUGUAGUCAAAUUUAACAGACGGUACAAUGUCCUCCGUGCUGGUACGAGGGCAGUCUCCAUAACGGUUCGGCAUCUCCUGAAUUCAGGCUGAAGCAGCCAUCGGUCCGACCUCGUGGCUGACAAUAAGGAAGUGUCCUUGGCGUGGCCAAUGCCAUGAUCCAUCUCGUGGGUUCGAUGGGUCCCUUGGGCUUGGGCUUACUGCCACUUAGGCUUGGGCACCCGGCAAUGGGCCUUGGGCGUGGUGGCGAUGUGGGGACAUCCUUAGUACGUACUGACUGAUGAUCCGGUCUUCACAGGUACAAGAGUACGUACUACUCGUAGUAUGUAUGGCUUGAAUCCAGUGCACUGAAUGGAAAUUGUCCACGGUAGACACUGGUUUAUAGACAUGGGAAGAGACUCUUUAAGCGAAAACGAACACGUACUCGAGAAUCUAUGAGAUCCGAUGGUUAGACUUCUACAGUAGUACACAGAGGAACUCUAACACAGACACACCUACGUCGUGCUCAGUGGAACCAGAUGAUGCAUGGACUACUUCCAUGCAUAUCACAAGCAAGUGGACAAGUGGGUAAUUGCCCUAUCCGGAUCUAGCGCACGGAGUCAAAAAGAAUCUGGAAUUGUUUCAUUGGUGCUUGUCUGCGAUUUAGUAGAAAACGCUAACUUUGAAUGACUCGCCUAGCUAUGAGGCAAGAUGGUUGUCGUAGGGACAUUACUGACAAUUGACUCCUUGAUUCCGUGGAUACGUCUCAGACUCGUUAGGACGGACUCGGGAGCGCAGGUAACAUGUUGAUCGUAGUUUCAGGAGGCAGCGUGAGGUGAAAUUCGUCGAUUUUAGGGCAGCCGUAUGCCAGAAAUUUCCGAUCAUGUACCUUGAACAUCUCUCAAGAUCAAUCAUGUGAAAUUUGACUGAACAGUCUACCACCUAUAUUUCAAUAGCCUAUGUCAUGAUAUAGCCUAGACCGUUUCUUUCUGCAGGGUUUAUUUCUUCACUCCAUAAAUGGCGCGAAACAUUGACAGCUCUUCCAAGUUUAUUUAAUCUUCACACAAGCUUGUCUUUUUGAUCUAGACAAGCAUCAAAUCAGACGUUUGCUUGGUGACUAUAACAAGAAGUCAGCAUCUCGUAUAACUUGCUUAGUUUGAAAGUUCACAAUCCAUAAAAUGCGCACAGAAUAAGGAACAAAUAUAGUUGCCCCACAGUCAUACACCCUUAUUCCCUUUCUAGAUUAGCGCCUCGUUCUAGUAGCGGAGUUGCUCCGAUUUCACAAAUUCAGUUGGAGUGUAAAAGUUUGGAAC
rnacentral:lncRNA from 1 species